CUACAGCGCCAUAAAUUUUGUUGACAACGAGUCCGGUGUUCAGUUUUGAUCCGACCGUGACUCGGGAAGUAGUGUUUCGGUUGAUCUACAUAUUUUUAAAAAGUGCUUGACAAUCGGUAGCUAGUGAAAAAACUAUAUCAGUGUAAAUUUUGUGAAUUCCGUAACUCGGAGAUUUUUCCAUAAUCACUGAUUCAUACUUGACAGACGUCGAAGGUGCCUGGUUCUUCCAGAUGCGGUUCAACUCUGAAUUACUAUCCCUACGUUGUGCUGAAAAAUUCGUAUAAGGCUCUCAAUUUGUCGUCACAGUGCCUUGAUCAUCGCAGUACCUAUUCAACUUCCAACCACGAAGGACAGGACUUCCAUGGCAUCGCACAAUUCGUUUACAGGUACUCGGAGAUGCUGCCGCCGCAGUUAUGACCCCCUGGACUUCCCCUGUUCAUCAGGGGGAGUCCAGGGACUCGUCCCCUGGGACUGCGCGGCCUCCCACCGCCCCCGGGGUCCCAGGGGACCCAGUCCCCGAGGACAUGUCU